rnacentral:tRNA from 1 species
GCGGGCGUGGCGGAAUUGGUAGACGCAACGGACUUAAAAUCCGUUGGGCGAAUGCCCAUGCCGGUUCGAUUCCGGCCGCCCGCACCA